GGGGCAGGUAGGGCUGGGGACCACAUUCAGAGCUGGUGAGUGACAACCCAAGGCUAAGUUCUCCCGAGCCAGUCAGGCCCUGAAGGACAAGUAGGAACCACGUUGGAGAGUCUGGACCCACAGGUCCAGAUGUACUUCUAAAGAUCCUAAGCUGCCACCCAGCAGAGUCUCUUCUCUCCGAUGACCCUAAAGGAUGACAUCUGUGAUUUAAUUGUGGCUGGCAAGAAGAGCUGGGGCCAGCAGAUCUCCACCAGCCCCAGAUCUGGUCUUGGCCCCCAGGUCUGAGUCCUCCAUGCCAGGGGACACAUGAAGCUGGGUUUCCCGAGCCUCUUGGUCAAGUGAUAACCAAGGACUGGGCUGAGAUUUGGACUCGCCAGGGGCACUGGAGUGGCACCUGCUGUUCUCACCCGUUGGCUCAGACAUGGAGAAACGUCAGCUUUGCUUUUCCAGGUAGUGCCACCCUGGGCAUGGCUUGCUCCUCUCCCCUCGGUUCCCCUGUCUGUAUGGAAGUAGCGUUUACUCUACUCAAGACUUUCUAUGUGGCCCCCAGGUGGUGUAUGGUCAGCAGACUGGGGUGAAGCAGUGGUUCUGGACGUGUGUCCUGCUGUCUAUACUCUUCCUGCAGCCCUUGCAGGCCCCCAAAUGUGGAGUGAAGCCAUCCUGUGUAUAAAGUACCUUAUCACCCAGGCACUCAGCCGAGAGCCGCUCACAGGCCUGUCACUCUGUCACGUGUAGAGAUGG